UACAGAGGGUGCGAGCGUUAAUCGGAAUUACUGGGCGUAAAGCGUGCGUAGACGGUUAUUUAAGUCGGGUGUGAAAGCCCCGGGCUCAACCUGGGAAUUGCAUUCGAGACUGAAUAGCUAGGGUACGGUAGAGGGAAGUGGAAUUUCCGGUGUAGCGGUGAAAUGCGUAGAUAUCGGGAGGAACACCAGUGGCGAAGGCGACUUCCUGGCCUGUUCUUGACGCUGAGGCGCGAAAGCUAGGGGAGCAAACGGG
rnacentral:rRNA from 1 species